rnacentral:lncRNA from 1 species
UGCACAGCCCAGCUCUGACCAGGAGGAAACAUCAAGAAAAUCCUGCAAAAUACCUGGUGUGCCCACUACGAAAUAUCUCACACUCCUGGACCAAAACUCAAUGGCUUCAGAGGGCAGGCCACGGAUCAGGAUGGCCAGAGGAUCAAACACUGCCACAACCUGUCUGUCUCUCCAUUUGCUCAUGUCUGAAAUUUCAAAGACAGCGCCGCUCCUGCAAUAAUGAAGCAUUAUGUUUGGCAGAUGAACAACUUCUGAUGCACCCUUGUUUGGAGAGAUGCUCCCUUGAAGAAAUGAUAUCUGGCUCUAAAAUCUCAGGUGGACAGCAAGGAAGAUGCAUGAAAAUAGAAGAUAUCUAUGUAACGUUCAAAAACCGCAACAUGCCAUUUGCCUACGGCGACUUAUGGAAACGUUUACAAAAACAUUUUGAUGGGAAUGCGUACACUGAGUAUGCCAGUCAUAAAGGUGCUUUUCUUUUUAUUUAAUUUUAUGUUCUGUUAUGUUCUUAAUCAUGAGGCUAGAUUGCCAAUGUUUGUUUCCUUAGCUUCAAAUCAGAAUUUAUAAUAUCCUGGAUGAUAUAUAAUUGUACUGUUCAUCCUAGCUUUGUUUUAUGUUUAACUCAAUCACUUUCAAAAUAAAGAACUGAAUAAAUA